rnacentral:rRNA from 1 species
UACGUAGGGUGCAAGCGUUAUCCGGAAUUAUUGGGCGUAAAGGGCAUCUAGGCGGUCAAUCAAGUCGAAGGUGAAAACUUGUGGCUCAACCAUAAGAUUGCCUACGAAACGGAUUAACUAGAGUGCUGGAGCGGUGGACGGAACUACACGAGUAGAGGUGAAAUUCGUAGAUAUGUGUAGGAAUGCCGAUGAUGAAGAUAGUUCACUGGACAGAAACUGACGCUGAAGUGCGAAAGCUAGGGGAGCAAACAGGAUUAGAUACCCUGGUAGUCCUAGCUGUAAACGAUGAUCACUGGGUGUGGGCAGGAGGACUGUCUGUGCCGAAGCUAACGCGAUAAGUGAUCCGCCUGGGGAGUACGACCGCAAGGUUGAA